CGCUGGCGGCGUGCUUAACACAUGCAAGUGGAGCGACGAACCGGGGCUUGCCCCGGGGCAGAGCCGCGAACGGGUGAGUAACACGUGGGUAACCUGCCUCAAUGAUUGGGACAACCCGGGGAAACUCGGGGCUAAUACCAAAUGUGUUCACUCCUUCCAAGGGGAGUGAGGAAAGGAAGCUUCGGCCUCCGCAUUGAGAUGGGCCCGCGGCCCAUUAGCUUGUUGGUGAGGUAACGGCUCACCAAGGCUUCGAUGGGUAGCUGGUCUGAGAGGACGAUCAGCCACACUGGGACUGAGACACGGCCCAGACUCCUACGGGAGGCAGCAGUGGGGAAUCUUGCACAAUGCGCGAAAGCGUGAUGCAGCAACGCCGCGUGGGGGAAGACGGCCUUCGGGUUGUAAACCCCUUUCAGUUGGGACGAAACUUCGUCGGUGAAUAGCCGGUUGGAGUGACGGUACCUUCAGAAGAAGCCCCGGCUAACUACGUG
rnacentral:rRNA from 1 species